UACGUAGGGUGCGAGCGUUGUCCGGAAUUACUGGGCGUAAAGAGCUCGUAGGCGGUUUGUCGCGUCUGCCGUGAAAGUCCGGGGCUCAACUCCGGAUCUGCGGUGGGUACGGGCAGACUAGAGUGCAGUAGGGGAGACUGGAAUUCCUGGUGUAGCGGUGGAAUGCGCAGAUAUCAGGAAGAACACCGAUGGCGAAGGCAGUUCUCUGGGCCGUAACUGACGCUGAGGAGCGAAAGCGUGGGGAGCGAACAGG
rnacentral:rRNA from 1 species